CCAAGGGUAGGAUUAGCGAUUAGGGUGAAGUCGUAACAAGGUAUCCGUACGGGAACGUGCGGAUGGAUCACCUCCUUUCUAUGGAGUAUUCGUAGAUUAAGAAAAAAAGCUGAGUGAAACGAUAAAACAGCUUAUGAUUAUAUCUCGUUCUAUCUAGUUUUCAGAGAUUGUUUUUACGGGCCAUUAGGCCCAAACAAUUUCUGUAAAGAAAAUCGUUCUUUGAAAACUGAAUAUUAGAUGAAAAUAGAUAUUUUAUUUUUCUUACGUUUAUAAACAAUAUAAAACGUAUUUAGUAACUUAAUUUAGAUUAUUACUAAGAAAACUAAAAUUUCAUUAAUUUUAUAGAUUAUCUAUAUAUGCAAUAGGUUUUUCUUUAGAAAGUAUAGUAAGGG
rnacentral:misc_RNA from 1 species